UUGAUCAUUUACAGUUUCUUGGCUGUUUAAUAUUGUGAAGAAGGUGAAUUCUUGAAUUGGGUUUUAGGAAUUUAGGUGAGUCAUUUUGAUCAUUUUCCAUUUUUUUUGGGUAUUUGUAUUGUGAAAAAGGUGAAAUCUUGACAUUGGAUUGUAAUUGAGUCAUUUGAUCAUUUCCACUUUUAUAGUGAAAAGGGUGAAUUUUUGAUGUUGGGUUUUUAGGAAUUUAGGUGAUUCAUUUGAUCAUUUUCACUUAACUAGUUAUAUAGUUAACAAGGUGAAUUGUUGAUGUUGGGUUUUAGGUGAUUCAUUUGAUCAUUUCAACUUUCUUAGCUAUUUAUAUAAUGAAAAGGUGAAUUCUUGAUGUUGGGUUUUAGGUGAUUCAUUUGAUCAUUUUCACUUUAUUAUUGGCUAUUUAUAUUUUAUAUAGUGAAAAAGGUGAAUUCUUGAUGUUGAUUAUCAGGUGAUUCAUGUGAUCAUUUCCACUUUUUGACUAUUUGUAUUGUGAAAAAGAGUGAGUUAUUGUUAUUGGGUUUUUAGUUUAAAGGGUUUUUGGCAGUAGUGCUGGACUGCUGGUGGUAUUGGGGUUCAUUUCAUAGCUAUAUGCCAAAAACAAAGAAAAAAUUGGGUUUUUGGAGGAAUCUGUGAUUUGUUUUUAUAUGUGGUUCUUGCAAUUGGGAAGUCAUUUUCUAAUUGUUUUAUGGACAAUUUUAUUUAGCAAUUCAUGGUGUUAUUUUCUUGGUUAUGUAUUUUGGUGUUAGUACUUUAAUGGUCAUUCACUAAAAAAGUAUUCUUUUUUUACUUACCUCAGGGUAAUUUAGCUCUUACUGUGUGAUAUCUGCUUCAAAAUUAUCUUACUUGCACAUCUGAAUUAAUAAUAUGUAAAGAUUUUUGGUGAUUGUAAGGACUUCAAAACUAUAUUUCUUCUUUUCAAUGCUUUUAGAUAAUGGUUAAGUGUUAAAGAAAGGAUCUUUUUUGAUGCUGAAUAGUUUUCCUUAUUUCCAGUUUGGUGCUCUUUUAUGUUAGUUUUAAUCGUGAGGAAAAA